rnacentral:rRNA from 1 species
AUUGAACGCUGGCGGCAUGCCUUACACACGCAAGUCGAGCGGCAGCGCGGGGGCAACCCUGGCGGCGAGCGGCGAACGGGUGAGUAAUACAUCGGAACGUGUCCAGUAGCGGGGGAUAACCUGUCGAAAGAUAGGCUAAUACCGCAUACGACCUACGGGUGAAAGCGGGGGACUCUCGGGCCACUGAGGGCCUCGCACUAUUGGAGCGGCCGAUGUCGGAUUGGCUAGUUGGCGGGGUAACGGCCCACCAAGGCGACGAUCCGUAGCUGGUCUGAGAGGACGACCAGCCACACUGGAACUGAGACACGGUCCAGACUCCUACGGGAGGCAGCAGUGGGGAAUUUUGGACAAUGGGCGCAAGCCUGAUCCAGCCAUGCCGCGUGAGUGAAGAAGGCCUUCGGGUUGUAAAGCUCUUUCGGCGGGGACAAAACGGUCCGUGACAACACCACGGACUAAUGACGGUACUCGCAGAAGAAGCACCGGCUAACUACGUGCCAGCCGCCGCAGUAA